rnacentral:rRNA from 1 species
UACGUAGGGGGCAAGCGUUGUCCGGAAUCAUUGGGCGUAAAGAGCGUGUAGGCGGUUCGGUAAGUCCGCUGUGAAAGUCCAGGGCUCAACCCUGGAAAGCCGGUGGAAACUGUCGAGCUAGAGUCCGGAAGAGGCGAGUGGAAUUCCUGGUGUAGCGGUGAAAUGCGCAGAUAUCAGGAGGAACACCAAUGGCGAAGGCAGCUCGCUGGGACGGUACUGACGCUGAGACGCGAAAGCGUGGGGAGCAAGCAGG